rnacentral:rRNA from 1 species
UACGUAGGGCGCAAGCGUUGUCCGGAAUUAUUGGGCGUAAAGAGCUCGUAGGCGGUCUGUCGCGUCUGUUGUGAAAACUCGAGGCUCAACCUCGGGCUUGCAGUGGAUACGGGCAUACUAGAGUGCGGUAGGGGAGACUGGAAUUCCUGGUGUAGCGGUGGAAUGCGCAGAUAUCAGGAGGAACACCGAUGGCGAAGGCAGGUCUCUGGGCCGCAACUGACGCUGAGGAGCGAAAGCAUGGGGAGCGAACAGG